AAAUUGAAGAGUUUGAUCAUGGCUCAGAUUGAACGCUGGCGGCAGGCCUAACACAUGCAAGUCGAACGGCAGCACAGAAGAGCUUGCUCUUUGGGUGGCGAGUGGCGGACGGGUGAGUAAUGUCUGGGAAACUGCCCGAUGGAGGGGGAUAACUACUGGAAACGGUAGCUAAUACCGCAUAACGUCGCAAGACCAAAGUGGGGGACCUUCGGGCCUCACACCAUCGGAUGUGCCCAGAUGGGAUUAGCUAGUAGGUGGGGUAAUGGCUCACCUAGGCGACGAUCCCUAGCUGGUCUGAGAGGAUGACCAGCCACACUGGAACUGAGACACGGUCCAGACUCCUACGGGAGGCAGCAGUGGGGAAUAUUGCACAAUGGGCGCAAGCCUGAUGCAGCCAUGCCGCGUGUAUGAAGAAGGCCUUCGGGUUGUAAAGUACUUUCAGCGGGGAGGAAGGCGGUGAGGUUAAUAACCUCGCCGAUUGACGUUACCCGCAGAAGAAGCACCGGCUAACUCCGUGCCAGCAGCCGCGGUAAUACGGAGGGUGCAAGCGUUAAUCGGAAUUACUGGGCGUAAAGCGCACGCAGGCGGUCUGUUAAGUCAGAUGUGAAAUCCCCGGGCUUAACCUGGGAACUGCAUUUGAAACUGGCAGGCUUGAGUCUCGUAGAGGGGGGUAGAAUUCCAGGUGUAGCGGUGAAAUGCGUAGAGAUCUGGAGGAAUACCGGUGGCGAAGGCGGCCCCCUGGACGAAGACUGACGCUCAGGUGCGAAAGCGUGGGGAGCAAACAGGAUUAGAUACCCUGGUAGUCCACGCCGUAAACGAUGUCGACUUGGAGGUUGUGCCCUUGAGGCGUGGCUUCCGGAGCUAACGCGUUAAGUCGACCGCCUGGGGAGUACGGCCGCAAGGUUAAAACUCAAAUGAAUUGACGGGGGCCCGCACAAGCGGUGGAGCAUGUGGUUUAAUUCGAUGCAACGCGAAGAACCUUACCUGGCCUUGACAUCCAGAGAACUUAGCAGAGAUGCUUUGGUGCCUUCGGGAACUCUGAGACAGGUGCUGCAUGGCUGUCGUCAGCUCGUGUUGUGAAAUGUUGGGUUAAGUCCCGCAACGAGCGCAACCCUUAUCCUUUGUUGCCAGCGGUUCGGCCGGGAACUCAAAGGAGACUGCCGGUGAUAAACCGGAGGAAGGUGGGGAUGACGUCAAGUCAUCAUGGCCCUUACGGCCAGGGCUACACACGUGCUACAAUGGCGCAUACAAAGAGAAGCGACCUCGCGAGAGCAAGCGGACCUCAUAAAGUGCGUCGUAGUCCGGAUUGGAGUCUGCAACUCGACUCCAUGAAGUCGGAAUCGCUAGUAAUCGUAGAUCAGAAUGCUACGGUGAAUACGUUCCCGGGCCUUGUACACACCGCCCGUCACACCAUGGGAGUGGGUUGCAAAAGAAGUAGGUAGCUUAACCUUCGGGAGGGCGCUUACCACUUUGUGAUUCAUGACUGGGGUGAAGUCGUAACAAGGUAACCGUAGGGGAACCUGCGGUUGGAUCACCUCCUUA
rnacentral:rRNA from 1 species